GAUGAACGCUAGCGGCAGGCCUAACACAUGCAAGUCGAGGGGCAGCACAGGAAAGUAGUAAUACUUUUGGGUGGCGACCGGCGGACGGGUGCGUAACGCGUAUACAACCUGCCUUCUACUGGGGGAUAAUUCGGAGAAAUCUGGUCUAAUACCCCAUAACAACCGAUGAGGCCUCUCAUUCGUUUAAAAGCUCCGGCGGUAGAAGAUGGGUAGGCGUGACAUUAGAUAGUUGGUGGGGUAACGGCUCACCAAGUCGACGAUGUCUAGGGGGACUGAGAGGUUAACCCCCCACACUGGUACUGAGACACGGACCAGACUCCUACGGGAGGCAGCAGUGAGGAAUAUUGGUCAAUGGACGCAAGUCUGAACCAGCCAUGCCGCGUGCAGGAAGACGGCUCUAUGAGUUGUAAACUGCUUUUGCACGAGGGUAAACCCAGGGACGUGUCCUUGGUUGAAAGUACCGUGCGAAUAAGGAUCGGCUAACUCCGUGCCAGCCGCCGCGGUAA
rnacentral:rRNA from 1 species